AUUGAACGCUGGCGGCAGGCCUAACACAUGCAAGUCGAACGAGUGGCGGACGGGUGAGUAAUGUCUGGGAAACUGCCCGAUGGAGGGGGAUAACUACUGGAAACGGUAGCUAAUACCGCGUACCAUCGGAUGUGCCCAGAUGGGAUUAGCUGGUAGGUGAGGUAACGGCUCACCUCGGCGACGAUCCCUAGCUGGUCUGUGAGGAUGACCAGCCACAUGGGAACGGAUACACGGGCCAGAUUCCGACGGUAUGAAGAAGUGGGGAAUAUUGCACAAUGGGCGCAAGCCUGAUGCAGCCAUGCCGCGUGUAUGAAGAAGGCCUUCGGGUUGUAAAGUACGUUCAGCGGGGAGGCGUUACCCGCAGAAGAAGCACCGGCUAACUCCGGGCCAGCAGCCGCGGUAAUUC
rnacentral:rRNA from 1 species